rnacentral:rRNA from 1 species
GUGGAUGAGGCAUGCAAGUCGAACGAAUAUCUAGCAAUAGAUAUUAGUGGCGGAAGGGUUAGUAAUACAUGGAUAACUUGCCUUUAACACCGGGAUAACGGUUGGAAACGACCGCUAAUACCGGAUGUGGUGCAACGGGGCAUCUCGUUGUUAUUAAAGUGGGGGAUCGUAAGACCUCGCGGUUGAAGAGAGGUCCAUGGGAUAUCAGCUAGUUGGUGUGGUAAAAGCUCACCAAGGCUAAGACGUCUAGGCGGAUUGAGAGAUUG